UUGCUCAGUGGGUUAACAAUCCGGCGUUGCUGCGAGCUGUGGUGUAGGUUGCAGACGCGGCUCGGAUCCCUCGUUGCUGUGGCUCUGGCGUAGGCUGGCAGCUACAGCUCCGAUUGGACCCCUAGCCUGGGAACCUCCAUAUGCCGCAGGAGCAGCCCAAGAAAUAGCAAAAAAAAAAAAAAAAGAAAUGACAGCAGCCUCCACCAAGGGUGUCAGAUGCACACAACGACGCAGGCCAGGCACAGACAUUUCCAAAAAGGACACGUUAGCCAACACUGUAAGACCACAGAACCUAAAGCGGCCAGCAGCCUAAGACCUCUCACCUGGCCACCGAAGAUGUUGAUUAAUGAAAUCCUCCAGCGUGUCAGGGGAGCCAGGCCCAGGGUCACUGACCUCUGCCAGACUAGUUGGAAGAGACAGGAGCCAUAGAGACUGAAGCUGAAAAGGAAUUCCCUCUGUACUGCUUUCCUCCUAAGUGGGGAGAGUAACAGUGAAGUUUGGGGAAUCUUGACUUGUCCAGAAAAAGACAGAAAGCAGGGAACAGACUGCAGUAAACUAGGGUAUAUUUCACUGCUUUGGUAGUUUUCCAAGUGUGGUCUCUGGACUAGUCACAUCAACUUCACCUGAGAGCUGGUUAGAAAUGCAAAUUCUCGGAGUUCCCUUGGGGCACAGAAGGUUAAAGAUCCAUCAUAGUCACUGUAGUGGCUUGGAUCGCUGCAGAGGCUGGGGUCACUGCUGUAGCACAGGUUUGAUUCCUGGCCCAGGAAUUUUCCUAUGCCAUGGUGCAGCUGGAAAAAAAUAAAAUAAAGAAAAGAAAAAGAAAAAAAAAAGAGGCAAACUCUCAGGCCCUCCUGAAACAGAAGCUGCGGGGGCAGGACCCUAGUGAUUUACACUUUAACAAGCAUAGGUGAUUCAGAAGCAAGUUCAAGUUUAAAACCAUUUCCCUAUAACAUAAUUCACCACAGAUGUCAUUUAAACAACAUAUUUCUUACUCCUCCACACAACUUGAUGGUAAAAAUGAACACUCUGGGACUUUCGUGGUGGCUCAGCAGGUUAAAUAUCUGGCAUUGUCACUGCUGUGAUGUGGUUCAAUCCCUGGCCUGGGAACUUUUGCAUGCCGUGGGUGCCACACCAAAAAAAUUAAUUAAUUUUAAAAAGUUAAUACUUUGGCUCUUUUAAUUUAUUCAAUAGAAAAUUAUCAAAUUAUCAGAUUUACCCCUCCCCAUUUAUUUGCAUAAACUUGUCAGGAACAUAAAGCAAAGAACAACUGUUUCAUACAUUGUAUGAAUAAAACUUUGUUUCCAAAAAACACUGGAAGUGGCUGGUGAUGAAUGUAAUUACUGUUUACCACAGAUCUCAAAUGUGCUAUAUGAAGACUGUUAAAAAAUUUACUCAAGUUCUCUUGUGGCUCAGCAGUUUAAGGAUCUGGCAUUGUCACUGCAGUAACAGGUUGCUGCUGUGAUGUGGGUUCAAUUCUUGGCCCUGGAACUUCUGCAUGCCUUAGGUGUAGCCAAAAAAAAAAAGGAAUUACUUCAUAAAUGACCUAAAACCUUGCAGAGAUUUGAAGACCAGCACUUCCUAGGCCAGAAAAUCAAAAAGCCUAGGAAAAAUAUGCUGAGAUCUGUGAGCCAUUCAGCAAUACUGCAUAUAGAAUUGUCCUGGGGCCUUCAAAUGAGAGCAUUCACCGGUCUUCCGCUGCAGCAUAACCAGUGAGCACUCGUCUGGGAAUUCUCAUGUGUUGAUAAAAUUCCAAGAGCCCCAUAGUACAUUCUCUAUCUACAAAAUAUAUUUUCUUCCAUUAAAGCGAGUUUUGUUCAGGCCCUCUGCAACCACUACAAUGAUUCUAGUUUUCUUAUGGGUACAUUCCAUGUAACAAAUGGCAGAAAACACAGAAGUAGUGGGGCUAGGCUCUCUAACCUGGUGCUGAAUUACAAGUCUCCCCCUUAGCUCGUGACUCUGGGGAAGGCAGCUUACAUGCCCUUUGCUCAGACAUCAAGUAGGCAAUGUUGAGAAGUGCCUGCUAUAAUACCGCACCAAGAAUCUAUUAUUCAUGUAUUGAUUCCCUUCUGGGCCAGGAGUACAACAGAUGUCUAUAAAGGGCAAUCGACUGAGAAUGGGCCCAGCGGUAUCAUAACAUCAGUCUCCACUAGGUGGCAAUAACGGUGCUAGGUAAUUGGUUAUUAACGUUGAUCAGAACUCAGCACUGUUUCUUACUAGUGAUUUAUUCAUUCAUUCAACAAAUAUUUAUUCGAUGGCUGCUAUGGGCCUGCCACCAUAGUUAAGAUACAAAGACCAGUGAAGAAAGACAGAGUCCCUAUCUAUGGACCUUAGGUCUAGGUGAGGAAAUGGACAGAGAAUCACAGCAAUAAAAUAGCACACCAUAGUAAGUGCUGUGAGUGCACAAGGGGAGAACUGCCCAUUGGGGGGGUGGGGGGGAAAGCAUCCCUGAUAAAGGGAUGACGAAGAGAUGGAGGUGUCCCAGGAAGGUGAGGGGUGGGAAGUCAAUGCUCAGGCAGAAGGGAGGGCCUGUCAGUGGCUCCUGGAAAGUGGGACGACUGCAAGGCCACAUGGCUGGAGCCCAAAGAGCAGGGGAGCAGGAUGGGAGCUGCCCACCCUGGAGGGAGGAGCAAAAGGCAGGCAGCCUUGUAAGCCUAGUUCUUGGUGGGGCUUUGGAUCUAGAUCCACAGAGCAGCAGGAGCCCACUGAUGGGUUUUUAAACCCAGGAGGGGAGAGGGCUGGGUGACUAGAUUGGAUUUGCAUUUAACAAGGUCAGAUUUGCAUUUUAACAGGGUGACUGAGGUCUUCUCUGCUGGGGGUUCAGCUGAAGUGGAGGGACUGAAGGGGGGCAGGUCCUCCCAGGUGCAGGAGACCAGUUAAAGAACUACCACUGGAGUCUAAGAGGAAGGAUUUGUCUUGGGUCAGGAUAGGGACCUGGAAACGGAAACGACUGAGAGAUGGGGAAAGUACCAGAACUCAGUGGCUAGGGGGUGCGCAGGAAAGGGAGGUGCCAGAGAUGGCUCCCCAGUGUCUGGCUCGGACAAGCCGACAGAUAGAAAGAAAAUCGAAGGGGGAAAGGGGUCUCAAAUAGUGGCUGGGUAGCAGAGAAAGAAAGUCAUGAGCACUUUUAUUUAUCAUUUAUUUAUUUUUGUCUUUUAGGGCCACGCCCAUGCUAGGGGUUCAAUCGGAGCUACGGCUACUGGCCUACACCACAGCCACAGCCACGCCAGAUCCUAACCCACUGAUCGAGGCCAGGGAUCGAAACUGCAGCCUCAUGGAUACUAGUCAGUUUCAUUUCCUCUGAGCCACGUGGGAACUCCACAAGUUCACUUUUAGACAUGCUGACUUUGAGAGUUUUUUUUUUUUUUUUGGUUUUUGUUUUUUGUGUUUUUUGUUUGUUUUUGUCCUUUUGCCUUUUCUAGGGCCGCUCCCUCGGCAUAUGGAGGUUCCCAGGCUAGGGGUCAAAUUGGAGCUGUGGCUGCAGGGGGCCUAUGCUACAGCCACAGCAACACCAGAUCCACACUGAAUCUCAGAUCUACACUUGCUUGUGGCAAUGAAGAUCCUUAACCCACUGAAUAAGGAUGGGAACAAGGAAAUUUCUUCAUGGAUACCAUGUUGGGUUCUUAACCUGCUGAGCCACAAUGGGAACUCCACAAUUAUCAAUUAAUAUACAUUAAUAUUCCUCAGAAGGUAGGCAUUACAUUUAUGGUCUGUUUUAAGGUGCUUAUAGUUAUUACUAGUAAUGGAAAUAUGCACCACACAAUGUGUUAUGUAGUGACUAGAAUUAGGAUCAUUGUUCAAAGGUUUAAAACAGAAACAAAAUUUCUAACUAAUAAGUAUUUCAUGAUUAAUUACAUAACAAUACCUCAAACUUACAAAGUAGUUUAUGUUUAAAAGUCUGUCAUUUGUAGUCAAUAGAACACAUGGAAUCUGCUGUCAGUCAAACCUGACUUCAAAUUCUG
rnacentral:lncRNA from 1 species